rfam:Schistosoma rodhaini strain Burundi genome assembly, scaffold: SROB_scaffold0001634
AUCCAGCUGACGAGUCCUAAAUAGGACGAAACGCAUGUCCUGGAU